rnacentral:piRNA from 1 species
UCAUCCAUGUAAAGGAAUGCCUGAGAG